rnacentral:rRNA from 1 species
UACGUAGGGGGCAAGCGUCGUCCGGAUUUAUUGGGCGUAAAGCGCGUGUAGGUGGCCAAGUAGGUCCGCUGUGAAAACUUGAGGCUCAACCUCAAGCUGUCGGUGGAAACCCCUUGGCUAGAGUCCGGAAGAGGAGAGUGGAAUUCCUGGUGUAGCGGUGAAAUGCGCAGAUAUCAGGAAGAACACCAAUGGCGAAGGCAGCUCUCUGGGACGGUACUGACACUGAGACGCGAAAGCGUGGGGAGCGAACAGG